GCUGCUCGGUGGUGUUGACACAGUGUACUUGUAGUAAGUGAUGGUUACGGACAGUGGAUGACAUGGACGUUUCCUUGGAUCACAUUAUGUGUCAGUUUUCGUACUUUAAGCUGCAAGUUAGGUAUUUUGGUUAUGGAGCAGUAUGGUCAAGUAUUGGAUUUUUUUAUGAAAUGGUUAAAGGAAGCCGAAAUUACUAUUGAAAUAAAAUUAAGUACAAGAAGGAAAGAGGACAAUGAUACAGAAGGAAUGCGGGGUCGAACUUUCGACAGUUGUAUGGGUGGAUACCCAUACAUGUCAGAUUGUUUGUGUACAUUAAAAUGCAUAAAGAUCCAAUUGUUUUUCCAAGACCAAUUGUGAAAAAAGAUCCACUCCUACAUAUAACCUAAAAUGGGAGUUGGCAAAUUGCUCCAUGAAUAUACUAGGCCAAACUAAUAAUACCAUCACAAUUACAACACAAUCCCUAACAAGACUAUGGGCAUUCAAAUGGCACCGAUAAGAUGUCUUGGCAACAGGGCCGUCGCGUGGGCAGGGCGACCGGGGCGAUCGCCUGGGGCGCCUGGACGACAAAUGAA
rnacentral:lncRNA from 1 species